CCUACGGGGGGCAGCAGUGAGGAAUAUUGGUCAAUGGCCGUAAGGCUGAACCAGCCAAGUCGCGUGAAGGAAGAAGGAUCUAUGGUUUGUAAACUUCUUUUAUAGGGGAAUAAAGGUAUCCACGUGUGGAUAUUUGCAUGUACCCUAUGAAUAAGCAUCGGCUAACUCCGUGCCAGCAGCCGCGGUAAUACGGAGGAUGCGAGCGUUAUCCGGAUUUAUUGGGUUUAAAGGGUGCGUAGGUUGUUUUUUAAGUCAGCGGUGAAAGUUUGUGGCUCAACCAUAAAAUUGCCGUUGAAACUGGAAGACUUGAGUGUGUUUGAGGUAGGCGGAAUGCGUGGUGUAGCGGUGAAAUGCAUAGAUAUCACGCAGAACUCCGAUUGCGAAGGCAGCUUACUAAACUGUGACUGACAUUGAUGCUCGAAAGUGUGGGUAUCAAACAGGAUUAGAUACCCGUGUAGUC
rnacentral:rRNA from 1 species